GACGAACGCUGGCGGCGUGCUUAACACAUGCCAGUCGAACGGAAAGGCCCUGCUUUUGUGGGGUGCUCGAGUGGCGAACGGGUGAGUAACACGUGAGUAACCUGCCCUUGACUUUGGAAUAACUUCAGGAAACUGGGGCUAAUACCGGAUAGGAGCUCCUGCUGCAUGGUGGGGGUUGGAAAGUUUCGGCGGUUGGGGAUGGACUCGCGGCUUAUCAGCUUGUUGGUGGGGUAGUGGCUUACCAAGGCUUUGACGGGUAGCCGGCCUGAGAGGGUGACCGGCCACAUUGGGACUGAGAUACGGCCCAGACUCCUACGGGAGGCAGCAGUGGGGAAUAUUGCACAAUGGGCGGAAGCCUGAUGCAGCAGCGCCGCGUGCGGGAUGACGGCCUUCGGGUUGUAAACCGCUUUCGCCUGUGACGAAGCGUGAGUGACGGUAAUGGGUAAAGAAGCACCGGCUAACUACGUG
rnacentral:rRNA from 1 species